AUUGAACGCUGGCGGCAUGCUUUACACAUGCAAGUCGAACGGCAGCGCGGGCUUUGGCCUGGCGGCGAGUGGCGCAAGGGUGAGUAAAGCAUGGGAACGUGCCCCGUAGUGGGGGGUAGUCCGGCGAAAGACGGGUUACUACCGCCUACGAGCUGCGGGUGCAAGAGGGGGGGCGAUAGACCUUGCGCGAUUGGAGGGGUGGAUGUCGGAUUAGCUAGCUGGUGGGGUGAAGGGUUACUUAGGAGACGAUCCGUAGCUGGUCUGAGAGGACGAGCAGCCACACUGGGACGUAGACACGGCCCAGACUCCUACGAGAGGCAGCAGUGGGGAAUGUUGGACAAUGGGGGCAACCCUGAUCCAGCCAUGCCGCGUGCGGUGAGAAGGCCUUCGGGUUGUAAACCGCUUUUGUGCGGGAAGAAAUCCUCUGGGCUAAUACCCCGGGGGGAUGACGGUACCGGAUGAAUAAGCACCGGCUAACUACGUG
rnacentral:rRNA from 1 species